rnacentral:rRNA from 1 species
CUUUACUGUAUCCUGAAAUUGAAUUUUUAUUUUAUUUGCGCAGAAUAGGUGGGAGACUAUGAAAAUAUUCUUUAGGGAGUAUUGGAGUCAUCGUUGAGAUACCACUCUAAUAAAAUUGAAAUUCUAACUUUAUUCCGUAAUCCGGAUAAAAAACAGUUUCAGGUGGGCAGUUUGACUGGGGCGGUCGCCUCCUAAAGGGUAACGGAGGCGUACAAAGGUUUUCUCAGAUCGGAUAGAAAUCGAUCGUAGAGUAUAAAGGCAAAAGAAAGCUUAACUGUGAGACAAACAAGUCGAACAGAGACGAAAGUCGGUCUUAGUGAUCUGACGCUGCUGUGUGGAAAGGGCGUCACUCAACGGAUAAAAGUUA